UGCGUAGGCGGAAAAUUAAGUCAGUGGUGAAAUCCUGCAGCUUAACUGUAGAACUGUCAUUGAUACUGAUUUUCUUGAAUAUAGUUGAGGUAGGCGGAAUGUGUAAUGUAGCGGUGAAAUGCUUAGAUAUUACACAGAACACCGAUUGCGAAGGCAGCUUACUAAGCUAUUAUUGACGCUGAGGCACGAAAGCGUGGGGAGCGAACAGGAUUAGAUACCCUGGUAGUCC
rnacentral:rRNA from 1 species